rnacentral:rRNA from 1 species
CCUACGGGACGCAGCAGUUGGGAAUAUUGGACAAUGGAGGAAACUCUGAUCCAGUGACGCCGCGUGAAGGAAGAAGGUCUUCGGAUUGUAAACUUAUUUUAUCAGGGAAGAAAAAAAUGACUGUACCUGAAGAAAAAGCAUCGGCUAACUCCGUGCCAGCAGCCGCGGUAAUACGGAGGAUGCGAGCGUUAUCCGGAUUUAUUGGGUUUAAAGGGUGCGCAGGCGGCCUGUUAAGUCAGCGGUAAAAGCCCGGGGCUCAACCCCGGCGAGCCGUUGAAACUGGCGGGCUGGAGUUGGAGAGAAGG